GUAGUUCAGUUUGCUUUCGUAAGUCCUUGUGGAAGGUUCGUGUUAGUACUCUAUAUGGAUCGUUUCAACGCGUAUUGUUUCUCUGUCUUUCGAUAUAAUUUGAUACGAUCAGGAUCAGUUUUUCAUUUCCAAAUGUAACGAAUAAAAGAUUAAUUGUAUGCCAACGAUUCAGUGUAUGUGAUUGUGAAACAGAGAUCAGUAAGUGAUGAAAGUUAAUGCAUUCUAUCGCGUGUAAAGUGUCAAAUGCCAGUGGACAAUGAAUAUAAUGAUACAAAAUUGGAUCCUUUAUAGUUUAUUUCUGCUGAGAUACGUUCAAGAUCAAGUUCAAGAGAGACAGAGAGUAAAUUACCGACCAGAAAGUGACCAGAUGCCAAGCGAAUUAGGUCAUCAGGAUCGAAUGAUAAGGGACUUAAGAAGCUGGAAUUAAAAACUGCCUCUAUUUAUAUCAAGACAACAUCGCGUCCUCGGUUACUCGCUUGAUAAGUUUUCAUUGAUUUAAUAGAAUUCUCCCACAAACGUCCGAAAUGAAGUGUGCAAAGGACCAUAUGCCACAUUUCUUUAUUUAAAAAAAAUUGUGUGACUUUUAAAUUUCUUUCCUUGUUCAAAAUAAGCUUUUUAAAUUCAAAUAAUUUAUUUCCUGCUCCAAUAAAAUUGAUUCCAUUAUUCGAAUAGCUAUAGAUAUAAUAGAUAUUGUGGUAUAAUUCUCAGCGUACAAUAAAUUUUCCUUAAGCAGUUUAAGAAUGCAUCCAUAGAAAGAUUAAUGGCUAAUUCAAUAUGAACUACCUUUAUUAUGAAAUAAGCAGAUACGAAUAAGCAGAUGCAAUUUAGUAUUGAUUUUACGCAUCCUAUCCUUAAUUAAAUACGAACUUGUAUAGUCCAUGUUAUAGAUAACAAAAGGAUGUGCAAAAGCUAGGCAACAAGUAAAUUAGCCAUUAUUUGUGUUAUUGUGUUAUAUCUUGUUCUUCUUUUUAUUACUCUUAAAUACUUUAAAUAUUUCUGAAUGUUCUUUACUACUCUUUUAGCAGAUUGAAAAUUGUUUAGGCAACUACAAUUUGAUGAUUUGCAUACAACAAUCAUAAAUGUUCGUAAUCUAAUUAAUUUAUAGUCUGAAUGAAUAAUAAUCGUUUAUUUAUGUUCAAAUUUAAUCGGGACAUUGCUUAAUCUUAUCACCCAGUCUAAGAAAUACGAAAGUAUCUAAAAAUGGAUUUAAUUAGUCGACUAUAUUGGCCUUUGGAAUUUUUAAAUUGUUCUUCAAGUUCUGAAUUUUUAAAUGCGUUUGUUGUGAUAUUUUUAUCAGAGCUUCCUGAAUACAUGAAUUCGUAUGUAGAGAAUAAAUGUGUCAAAUUAUUCGUGAGUGGAUUUCCCUUACAUAUAUUUUUCCUUCGUAUAUUUUUAAUGAAUCGAAAACAAUAUGCAAUUACAUAAAAUAAUCGGCUAUAUAUAUAAUGAAAAUUUUGAAAACAGUUCUAUCUCCUUAUCUUCGAUUAUUGAAUAGGUGUAAUUAUAUUAUCUUUUCUCUGGUAAUUCAACGAUAUAGGAAUCUGUUUGUAGGCAUUGCAUGUAGUCCUAAAACAACUAUGAUCCAGUCCACCAUAGCGUUGUUGUAUGCAAUUCUGAUAGGAAAAUACCUUGAGAAAUCAUAUCGGUUCGUUGGAACAUGACUUUAAAUAAUAAUAAAUUUUAAUUGUUAUUUUUACAGUUCUAUUUGCGAAGGUCUUCCAUCAUGAUGGUAAUGCCUUAAUCCAGAAUAUUUCAAUCAUAGAAUCAGUCCUGCAGAAUUCUUGACUUAGAUUCUAAUCCAGCGUUAUACGCAUCUUUUCUUUGAGUUAUGCAAAUAGCAAAGCAUCGCAAAUUUCAAGUAUAGAGUAUAGAGUAAUUUUUUUAAUGAUUCUUGAGCAUAUAGGAAGUGUAUAUGCCAUUAUUCAUUGUCAUCUUGUAAACGAAGACAUCAUGUGUCUUUUCGAAGGCAUCACAAAGUCUGUAAUUCGAUUAUCCUAUAAUUGUGGCUCAUCUGGAGACCGCAAUAUUAUUAAUUAAGUUUAUUUCAGUCUAAAAUUUUAUCCAUGAAGUAUGAAUAUCCUGGAAGAUUUAUUCCAAGAAAUUUUUAAUUAUUAUAAUUGUUGUAGCAAUAAUUUUGCGUGUAGAAUAAUUACUCCUAAUAAACAUAUUCGAAGAAGAUGGCGUGUUUCAUAAACGCGAAAUCUAUUGGAAAGUUUUAUAAAGUAAUAGUUUAUCUUGAUGCGCAUUCUAGAAAAAUCCAGUGUUUUUGGAUUCAUUUUCUGAUUUGAUUUCGAUACCUGGUUCUGAUCUUCCGCCAUAAUUUAAUAAUUUAGUUUAUUGGUGGCCUACUUUCGAAGUAUAAAUUCUGCAGUAAAAUUAUAGUCAAUUCGUCUUUAAAAGUUUGUGCUCGUUAGAGAAUAUGUUCCUGUUAGUAAAUUAUCAGCAUAAAAAUUCCGAAUAAAGACCUGGUUGCUAUUAGAGAAACUGUCGCUGUAAUUUUCAUCCAGCUAUCGCAAUACUCGAGUCAAUAAUAAAAGUGCAUGUAAUUCCUUAAGUUAUAAUAUUCAAUUCUUAAAUCUUAAGUGGUUUUGUUUUGUAUAAUCUCCAAAAUAUGCGCAGAAAACGAUUAUCUUCUUUAUUGACAAGUAUUUGUCAAUAUAUUUUUUCGAUAUCAACUGAUAAAACAUAUUCAUGUUUACGAAAUCUAAUUAUUAUUGAAAAUGAAUCCUGUUGUAUUGUUGAUCCGAUAUAUUAUAUGUUGUUAAUAAAUAAUAAAUAAUCCUGAUAUAAUCUUAGCAGAAUCAUCAAAUAUAACGCGUAAUUUAGAAGUAGUACUAAAUUAUUUAAAUACUGCAUAAUGUGGCAAAAAAUUUAUUGAAUUCAGGAUUUUUAAUUUCACGCAUAUAUACUAGUGUUUCGUAUUCCGUCAUGAAUUCUGUGUAUUGCUAUUUUCCGGAUGUUUGUCCGGAUAUUGUUUCUGCCCAAGUGAUAAGAAUCUUUUAUAUGCUUGUUCUUGAGAAUCCCCUAAUUUCCGUUUUUUUAAACGGAAUUCUUAUAACAAAGUGUCUUAUAACACAGUCACAAAUAAUAUUCUGUACGAAAUAUUAUUCAAGCUGUCAAAUUACAAUUUAAGUUGCAAACACAAUCAGUUCUAUCCUUAUAUCUCUUCGGUUGCUACAUAUAAAUGAUUUCGUCGAGUUCUUCAUAAAGAAAAACCAUCUUGAUAUCAAAUUUGCUGCAGAUAUAUUUUGUUCGAGACUGUGAUAGAUAUCCUUUAUUGAAUUAAAUCUAGCUACAGGACUAAAUAUUUCAAUUUUAUAAUAGUCGACUCCGGCAAUUUAUUUAAAACCUUAUGUAACGAAUCUUUCCUUGACUCAUUGUAUGCUUCUAUCGUUAUUCAUUUUCAGUAGACCUAAUGAAUUACUAAUGGAUUACUAAUAUCCAUGUUUGAGUUUUUUUCAAGAAAUCGAUUUCAUCAUUCAUGACUUCUUUCCAUUUGAUUGCAUUGCUAUAUGUGAUUGCAUCAUAGUUUUUCAGUUCAUGGUGUUCUAUGAUUACAAUGUUUCCGUACAUGAGUCUAUCGGCAUAUACUAUCUCUUUCUGACUCUCAAAUACCGGUUUUGUUCAUAUUGUUUUUUAUUUUUUGGAUCGUCUGAUUCUUUAUCUUGUCAUUUUCUCAUUGUUUUCCGAUUAAAUAACGAUUCGACAUCUAUUUUAAUUUUUUCGACCUUCUAAUGUUCAAAGAUUAUGAUGUUCGACUCUGAUUCCCAUUCUUUAUCUGAAUUAUUUUUGCAGUGCUGGUUUGUGAAUUUUAUUCUGACGUAUUGUCCCCUUUCAGGAAGCCAAUUCGAAAUUUUUUUAUGUUUUCAUCAUACUCGAUGCCUUUUUCGACUUUGACAUUCUAUUUUCGUCUUUUUUUUUUUUUUAGAUAUGGAACUAUACUUCUUUCCGAAAGUUCUGACGCUCGAGACGUUUAAUCUCUUCUUGAAUCAAUGGAUACUCCUUUUUUUCCACUGAUUCCAGUUCUGUUUAAAGUAUAGACGGUAUAUUUAAUUGCCACAACUCAUAUUAUGAAACAAGAACAAUAUAUACAAAAAAAUUUCCUUUUCAAAGAAUCGAAAUGAAGAAAUAUUUCAAAGAGUUAUCCAACGUUUAGAAACACAUGAAAUUUUCAUAAAAAUAAUGUAGAAAAAUCCAGAAUACCGAAGACUUUUGCCGCAGAAGAAACAGUGCUUCGGAAUGUAGAAAAUCCUAAUUCUAGCACCAGAAAAAUAGCAAGAAGAGAAGAAAUUUAUCAUUUUCUAUAUGGGAAAUAUUGAAGAAAAAUGAUUUACAUUCUUUUCAUCAUCAGAAAAUGAAAGAGUUAACUUCGGCUAAUUAUGUUCAAGAUUAUUAUUUUGUUCAGAAAUACAAUUUUCAUUGAACAUAUAUUAUUUACGAACGAAGCUAUAUUUAUAAGAGUUGAUAUUUAAUACAUUAUAUGGCAAAAUAUAAAAUACUCAUGGACAAUCAAAAAUCCUCAUUCCAUAAUACACCAAAAUUUUUAAUAACAAUUUUUCGUAAAUAUAUGGCUGGAUAUAUUAUAAAAAAAAAAGACAUUGAUAGAACUACAUUUCUUGCCGUUACAAUUAACUGAGAAACAUAUUUUUGAAAAAAGAAUUGAUGUUCUUCUUGUUGAAGUAAAUUUAAAUGUAUUAAAAAAUUUAUGUUUAUGCACGAAAUUUAUGUUUAAGGCUUCGGCAUAUUUUUGUAAUAACAUGAAAAGAAUUUUAAAUGAAAAGUUUAGUAACAAAUGAAUCGAUCGUGGAGAACUAAUAAAUCCGCUAGAUUUUUGUCUACUUAAAAAAAUUUUGGAAUUACUUAAAAAUUUGAUAUAUAGAAAUAAAAUUGAAAAUGAAAAUAUUUUAAAAAAGAACAAUAAUCUAAAUAAAUAUAAAGAUAUAAAAAAUAAUUCAAGACUAAUAAAAGAAAUUAGAAAGAAUUUCAUUUUAAAUGAAAAGAAUAUAAUUAUGUAUCAAAGAAAAUGGAUAAUGUUUAAAGAUUUAAAAAAUAAAUAUGAAAUGCUAAAAAAUAAUUUAAUUAUAAAUUAAUUUUCUAUUCUUUUUGUUUUGUAAUAAAAAGUAAAAUUAUUUAAUUUAUAAAAUAUUUAAUGGUAAUGAAAUGAAAUUCUAUAUACAAAUGUAAGCAUACAAUAAUACUACAUACAAUAGUAAGCAUAAUAAACAAAUGGUAUGAAAAAAUGUAGAAGUAAGAAAAAAUAUGAAGAAGUAAACAAAAUUAAAAUAAAUUAUUUAAUUUAAAUAAUAGUGUUAACUUUUUCGUUAUUUGGUCCGUAUGUCACAUGAGCAAAUUAAAUUUUACAUAUAUUGUAUUAUAUAAUAUUUGGAUCUUACAUCAAUAAACCAUUUUUAUUAUGAUAUAAUUUUUAAAUAUUUUCUAUUUUACAUAAUCAUUGCUUAGUAAACGAAAGCAUUAUCAUUCAUGGAUAUUACCUUCAAAUAAAAAUAAUAUUUAAUUUAAUAAUAUAUAAUAAGAUUAAUUUUUUAUUGCUAAUUUUUAUCAUUGACACUAUUCUUCAAAUAAUUUCAGAUAUAGAAAUUAAACGGAUAAAGUUCUGGAGACCUAUAUGAUCACUUUAUUGGAUUUCCAUUGAUCUAUCUUUUUUAAAAUCUUUCUCGUUAUCGCAAAAAUAUACCGAUGCCUCAUCAUAACAAAAAAAAAAAAACAAAAAUAAGUUUCCCCAGUUAAAAGCAAGAAAUAUGAUCCUAUCAAUUUAUUGCCUAAUAUACAUAUAUUUAUCAAAAAAUGUCUUUGAAAAUUUUUUUACAUUAAUACGAUUUCUUAUUUAUUCUUAUGUUAUACUAAAUAUUCCUCCUCUUAUAUGAUUUUGUAAAUAAUAUUUGUUUAAUAACAAUUGUAUCUUCGGUACAUUUUCUUUAUAUUUGCAAAUAAAAUUUUUAUAAAUAACUAUUGAUUGGAAUUAACUCUUUUACUAAAAAAAUAUAAUUCAGUUUCCUUUAAUAUGGAAAAUUCUUUAUAUUUUUACUAUUAUUCUUUAUAUUUUUUUCUUGUACUAGAAUUAAGAUUAUUAAGAUUGUUAAGAUUAUCUUCUAUUACGAAGUACUGCUUCUUCCAGCGGAAUUUCUCGAUUUUCUUGCUGUUAAAGUCGAAGCUAGUGAACAAUAUUGAUUCUAACUGUAUUCUGAUGUACACUGUAUUGUCGUCGAAUUCUAUCUGUUCUACUUUCUAUUUCUAUAUCAACUCAAUUGCAAGACUAUCGUCUUGGUUUUUUCUUCAAUCCUUCUUUUUCAGGAAUAAUGCACAUAGAGAGGGGAUUGGAAAGACCAAUGGCGCUGAAGGGCGGCCUCAAAGGAUGGUCCUUUGCGGAGUUGCGUCGCAGCGCGUGGGGAUCAGAAUCUUCGCGCUCAUUCUCACGGUGGUCCAUCGCAUGGCGUGCAAAUAUGGCUCGUGAAAUGGCUAUUCCUGUAAUAUCUUUGUUUAAAUUAAAGAUCUGGAAAACGUAAGGGAAACCAUGUCUGUUCAUAAAUUAUUGUCAGGCUAUUCGAAUUAUUGAAAACACAGGCCAGAUGUAUCUGACUGAUUCAUAAGCUUCCUUUUUAACAUCUGCAUUAACAGUAUAUUUAAUUAGUACAAGGCAUUUAUAAUUAUUUUUUCAUUCACUAUUCAACAAAAUGAAAAACGCUCUGCAUAAUACUAUUUUUUAUUCUAAAUAUGUAAUAUUAUAAUUCGUUGCUUUGUACACAUAAUUUCCGUCCGCUUUUCUGUAAAUUUCAACCAUGUCAUCAUUUUUAAAAUUAUAAACACAUAUAUAAAAUUAUAAUAAUAUAUUUUAUAACAUAUAAUAUAAUUAUAUGUACAUAUAUACAUAUAUGUAAUACAAAUAUGUUAUAUAUGUAUAUAAAAUUAUAUACAUAUAAACAUAUAUAUAAAAUUAUAAUAACGUAUAAUAUAUUAUAUAACAUAUAAUUAUAUAACAUAUAUAGUUGUUAAUUGUUAUUGUGAAAAUAUUUUAAUAUUUGAAAAUGUUUAUUACAAAUUUAAAAAUAAAUUUAUUACAAAUUAAUGAACUGUAAAUAUGUUGAAAGUCAUUCUUAACAUGUUAAAAAAACUAAAAGUAAAUGUAAAUAAUUUUUAUAUGAAAUAACAUGUAAAGAAUUAAAAAUAAAAUGAAAAAUUAUUUCAUACAAUAAAAUAUAAUUAUAACAAAAUA